rnacentral:rRNA from 1 species
CUAACGUCCGUCGUGAAGAGGGAAACAACCCAGACCGCCAGCUAAGGUCCCAAAGUCAUGGUUAAGUGGGAAACGAUGUGGGAAGGCCCAGACAGCCAGGAUGUUGGCUUAGAAGCAGCCAUCAUUUAAAGAAAGCGUAAUAGCUCACUGGUCGAGUCGGCCUGCGCGGAAGAUGUAACGGGGCUAAACCAUGCACCGAAGCUGCGGCAGCGAACGUAUCACUUAAAGCGAUUCAGCGGGUUACGAUUGACGGAGCGAAGCGACGUCAAAGCGUAUACAAAGUCGAGUCGGUUUAAGGAUACGUUCGUUGGGUAGGGGAGCGUUCUGUAAGCCUGUGAAGGUGGCCUGUGAGGGUUGCUGGAGGUAUCAGAAGUGCGAAUGCUGACAUAAGUAACGAUAAAGCGGGUGAAAAGCCCGCUCGCCGGAAGACCAAGGGUUCCUGUCCAACGUUAAUCGGGGCAGGGUGAGUCGACCCCUAAGGCGAGGCCGAAAGGCGUAGUCGAUGGGAAACGGGUUAAUAUUCCCGUACUUGGUGUUACUGCGAAGGGGGGACGGAGAAGGCUAUGUUGGCCGGGCGACGGUUGUCCCGGUUUAAGCGUGUAGGUGUGUGUUCCAGGUAAAUCCGGUU